rnacentral:tRNA from 1 species
UCCCUGGUGGCUCAGAGGUUAAAGCGUCUGCCUGCAAUGUGGAAGGCCUGGGUUCGAUCCCUGGGUCGGGAA